rnacentral:ncRNA from 1 species
GAACUGAAGAGUUUGAUCCUGGCUCAGAUUGAACGCUGGCGGGAUGCCUUACACAUGCAAGUCGAACGGCAGCACGGACUUCGGUCUGGUGGCGAGUGGCGAACGGGUGAGUAAUGUAUCGGAACGUACCCAGUAGCGGGGGAUAACUACGCGAAAGCGUAGCUAAUACCGCAUACGUCCUACGGGAGAAAGCGGGGGACCUUCGGGCCUCGCACUAUUGGAGCGGCCGAUAUCGGAUUAGCUAGUUGGUGGGGUAAAGGCCUACCAAGGCGACGAUCCGUAGCUGGUUUGAGAGGACGACCAGCCACACUGGGACUGAGACACGGCCCAGACUCCUACGGGAGGCAGCAGUGGGGAAUUUUGGACAAUGGGGGCAACCCUGAUCCAGCCAUCCCGCGUGUGCGAUGAAGGCCUUCGGGUUGUAAAGCACUUUUGGCAGGAAAGAAACGGUUCCGGAUAAUACCUGGAGCAACUGACGGUACCUGCAGAAUAAGCACCGGCUAACUACGUGCCAGCAGCCGCG